CUGGGGUGCAUUGUAGUUGCAUUGCACGUCGUGUCCGGGCCGUGCAAUGUUUCCACAGUGCAUCCCAG
rnacentral:pre_miRNA from 15 species